UUAUUUUUAGCUGUCUUGGAACAGCUAAAAUUGGUGGGGGUUUCAUUUGGGCACUUCUAAAAUAUAUCAGCAAAUUAAUAUAAAGGCUGAUGGACGAAAGUUGUAUGAGUAAUUCUAUCAGCUCUGAUAUUUAAAUAAUGUGUUAUGUUUCAUCCAUUCUUGUUGAACUUGAAUGAAUGGGGUAUUAUAACUACAUAAGAAAGUGUUUAUUAUAGAAAUUAUGAUUUCCGAUAGCUGCUUGAAAAUCUUUAUCUUAAAUACUACAAGCUGCAGAGUAAUAAAUAUGUAUUCUACCAUUCUCUUUGAGUGAAUGUAUUUUAUGCAGUAAUAUCUGAAGGUUUGUGCAAUAGUAUUAAAAGAAACAUAAAGAAAAGAAAAUGUAGCGAUUUUCAAUCACUGAUGAUUUAAGCACUGGACAAAUAUAGGGGCCGUCUUGUUCUUCAAAAUAAAUGCAAAAUCCUCCUUUUUGAAGUCAAAAAUAGGGGGUUGACUUAUACAGCAGGGCAACAUCUACUCUAGAAAAUAUGUUGAAAGAAUUGACUACGCACCCUGCUUAAAUUCCCUGACAUCACCUAAAGUCGAUAAUAUACAUAAUGGCCAACUGAAUGCCGAAAAACAAUGCUCUCUGCCUGGUAAAAACUAAUCUCUCUGUAGAAACUAGAUGCCUGAAAGUCAAAUGCAGUGAUACAAAGAAUUUCAAUAAUUCAUUAUGCAGGGAAAAUGCGCCUGCACAAAGUUACAAAAGAAAUUUUUAAAUCAGUCUCUGCCCGGUUAUUUCUGAAAAUGAAAUCAGCUUCUAGUAAGUGAAAGAAAAAAACAGACUCAGAUGAAAAAAAAAGUUUUCAUUUUUUGCUUCGAUUUCCUAGGAGGAAAAACUUUACAUAUGCAUA